rnacentral:rRNA from 1 species
AGUCAACAUAACCAAAGGACGUGGAUAAACUCGGGAAACUGAGGCUAAACCGCGAUAGACCAAGAUACCUGGAAUGGUUUUUGAUUAAAAUCUAUAUGGCCUUUGGAUUGGACUGCGACCGAUCAGGCUGUUGGUGAGGUAAUGGCCCACCAAACCUGUAACCGGUACGGGCUCUGAGAGGAGGAGCCCGGAGAUGGGCACUGAGACAAGGGCCCAGGCCCUAUGGGGCGCAGCAGGCGCGAAAUCUCUGCAAUAGGCGAAAGCUUGACAGGGUUACUCUGAGUGGUUCCCGUUAAGGGGAUCUUUUGGCACCUUUAAAAAUGGUGCAGAAUAAGGGGUGGGCAAGUCUGGUGUCAGCCGCCGCGGUAAUACCAGCACCCCGAGUGGUCGGGACGAUUAUUGGGCCUAAAGCAUCCGUAGCCGGUACUGCAAGUCUUCCGUUAAAUCCACCUGCUUAACAGAUGGGCUGCGGAGGAUACUAUGGAGCUAGGAGGCGGGAGAGGCAAGCGGUACUUAGUGGGUAGGGGUAAAAUCCGUUGAUCCAUUGAAGACCACCAGUGGCGAAGGCGGCUUGCCAGAACGCACUCGACGGUGAGGGAUGAAAGCUGGGGGAGCAAACCGGAUUAGAUACCCGGGUAGUCCCAGCUGUAAACGAUGCAGACUCGGUGAUAAAUAGGCUUCGUGCCUAUUCAGUGCCGCAGGGAAGCCGUUAAGUCUGCCGCCUGGGGAGUACGGUCGCAAGACUGAAACUUAA